rnacentral:rRNA from 1 species
AGAGUUUGAUCAUGGCUCAGAUUGAACGCUGGCGGCAGGCCUAACACAUGCAAGUCGAACGGCAGCGGGGGGUAGCUUGCUACCCCGCCGGCGAGUGGCGGACGGGUGAGUAAUGCCUGGGGAGCUGCCCAAUCGAGGGGGAUACCAGUUGGAAACGACUGCUAAUACCGCAUACGCCCUGAGGGGGAAAGGUGGGGAUCUUCGGACCUACCGCGAUUGGAUGCACCCAGGUGGGAUUAGCUAGUUGGUGAGGUAACGGCUCACCAAGGCGACGAUCUCUAGCUGGUCUGAGAGGAUGACCAGCCACACUGGAACUGAGACACGGUCCAGACUCCUACGGGAGGCAGCAGUGGGGAAUAUUGCACAAUGGGGGAAACCCUGAUGCAGCCAUGCCGCGUGUGUGAAGAAGGCCUUCGGGUUGUAAAGCACUUUCAGCGAGGAGGAAAAGGGUGAUGCUC